rnacentral:rRNA from 1 species
GACGAACCGUGCGAACGUUGUUCGGAUUCACUGGGCUUAAAGGGCGCGUAGGCGGGUUUUCAAGUCUGGGGUGAAAUCCUCUCGCUCAACGAGAGAACUGCCCUGGAUACUGGAGACCUCGAGGGAGGUAGGGGCAUGUGGAACUUCCGGUGGAGCGGUGAAAUGCGUAGAUAUCGGGAGGAACACCUGUGGCGAAAGCGGCGCACUGGACCACUUCUGACGCUGAGGCGCGAAAGCUAGGGGAGCAAACAGG